rnacentral:lncRNA from 1 species
CCAAGCACCCCAUAGCACCCACACACUGGGGCACUAACUAUCAUGGCUUUCCCCAUGCAAACCCUGCGAUGGGGCACAACACACCGGGGCAUGGGGCUGGGGCAAUGCCUGGCCCCAGAUCAAGGCCCGUGUGGGCAGGGAGUGCACGUGGUUAAUGAUUGAUGGAGGAAGUUUCUGCACUCACACUGUGGGCAGGCACAGCCAACUGCAGUGUUCAGGGCAAUGGUGUGCCUGCACGCUCCAUCUCUCUGGCACCACCCCAGCCUGGUCAAGGUGAACUGGUGGCACCCAGGACUGUCACAAACACCGAUUAAGUGAGCAUUAGAAUCUCAUUUCUGGCUGCCAGCAAGCAGCCUGCCGCCUGACAUCCACACCCUUGCUGCCUCCCAUGUGUGCUCAUCACCUCCUCCUACACAUACGGGUGCAGCCCUGACCCACUUCCCAGGGCCAGCAAAGAUCGUGCCCCUGUCCCCUGCUGUCCUGCAGCCCGGGGGUGCUAUGACUGUGUCAGUUGUCUCUCCAGUAUCAGAGGCCCCUGCCAGAGCACAGCACGGGGAAACCCUUUGCAGAAGGAGCCGUGCCCAUACCAUGUGAACACAUGGGAGGCGGCAACCCCCGUGCACCCAAGGCAGCUUGGAGGCCAGCCCUCCUGAUGCAUACACAGGCAGGAAAACCUCAAAAACGCACCCCAGAGCGCAGUGAAACCUGUGGGCGCUGGGAGAGGGCCGAGCGCCGAGCAAUGGGCGUUCUGCUCCGCCCGGGACGUGGUGCAGCAGUGGCUCAGGUUACAAGGCUGGCGUGGUGCCCGCAGCGGGCGGCACAGCGACACACGUGUCCCCUCUCCCUGCACGUCCUACAGCGCAGGGACACCCCUCGGCAGUGCCAACAGGGGACCCUUGGGAGCCGUCCGAGUUUCCUUGGUGACUGUUGCCAGGUGAGAAACUCUAAGGCAGAAUUUCUUAUCUUGGUGGAGAACGGGAGAUGUUCCUCACUGGGGCUGUUACUGGACCCAGAGCUGGCUCUGCGCUGGGCCGGACACCCCGCUGACAGCAGUGACUGUGGUGACAGCAGGGUCCCCGAGGACAGGCUGUGCCCAGGGUGCUGGGGCUGCACGGCCUCUGGCAUCGCUGCCUGGAGGGCAGCACGUGGCGUGGGGCUAUUUCUGCCCUUUGGAGAGCAGCAGGCGAGGGAAGGAGGUGACACCGCAGGGACCACAGAGAAGUGUGGAGGGACGCGGGCUGCGCUGUCACGGCUUCAUAGACUCCGAGUUAGGCUGCGGGAGGAAAAAGAGCAGCAAAAGCAGCUGCGUGAAACUGCAAAGCAAAUGGAAAAAAAAAUGUUUCCUCAGCCAGAAACUAUUCCAAAGACUGACGGGGCAGAAAAAAAAUACAGCUGAGUUAUUGAGAAUGCACUGCAAAAUCCAAACAGUUUAAGAUGGGAAAGCAAGUCAUUUGCAAAGCUAUUUCCAAACUAAGUAAAAAGUUCCUGGCUCCGAAACUCCUCUGAGCCCCACCAGCUGCUGGCUGUGGCUGCUGCGAGGGCAGGGAGCACACACAGGCCGCUGCUCCUGCCUGCAGCACGUGGCUGGGAGAUGUUGGGGAGCUGCAUUCAGCACAUGGAGCUGCUGGGACCCUCAUCCCCAGUGCUCUGUGCAGCACUGGAUGGAGGUUUGUUCCUUGGCACAGAGAGAGGAGCACUGCUGAGGUUGGUGAUCCGGAAGGGCAGCGGCGGGGAGCAGCUGUCCUGCUGCUGUGUGCAGGGCUAUAUUUGGGAAUCCAGCAGCUGAGCGUGUCCCAGCUUGGGAAGCGGUGUGUCCCAGGGUCCUAGUGCAACGGGAGAGAGGAGAGGAGAGAAACCACGCUGGGAGCGUGUGAGCAGCUCUCCUGCAUUUUGGUGGGCUCUUUAAGGGCUCCUACAUGCUGCUCCCUGCCAGCCCAGCUUCUUCCUGCUCUCCUUUUAGAGGAGCGGAGCUGCCGGGCAGGCGUGUGUCGGGGAGCUGUGCCUAUUUUCAGUGCUGGAGCCCUGCAGGAGGCCGCUCCCACCACUAUCUAUAGCCCGGCUGCUGCACAAGUGCCCUCCCUCAGCCACAUGCCAGGAGCAGCUGCACAACCCCAAAUUUCACACGGCGGGUGGGCACUGUUGCUCCAUCCCUGCGCUCACGGCGCAUUGUGGGAUUAAUAAAAUAAUGAAAUCCGGGAUUAAGAACA